rnacentral:rRNA from 1 species
CCCUUAGAUGUUCUGGGCCGCACGCGCGCUACACUGACGAAUUCAACGAGUUUAUAACCUUUGCUGGGAGGCAUGGGUAAUCUUGUGAACGUUCGUCGUGAUGGGGAUAGAUUAUUGCAAUUGUUAAUCUUCAACGAGGAAUUCCUAGUAAACGCAAGUCAUCAGCUUGCAUUGAUUACGUCCCUGCCCUUUGUACACACCGCCCGUCGCACCUACCGAUUGAAUGGUCCGGUGAAUUCUUCGGACUGCGGCUUUGACUCGAUUUCGGUCGAGGCGUUGCUGCGGGAAGUUGAUUAAACCUUACCAUUUAGAGGAAGGUGAAGUCGUANCA